rnacentral:lncRNA from 1 species
CUUUUCACUCUUUUUCAUUAGGACCCCGACAAGCUUGUCAGCAAAAUUAAAGGUUCACUUCAGACGGUCUCCAUCCUGUGUUGGAAAGCAGAAAGCAGCAAGUGGACCUGGGCUGCAUAAGCACCUGCCAGGCCCUAAACAGUGGUAAAACACUGGCUGCCAUGAACUUCUUGUUAAAAAAAAGAAAGAAGAGAAGGCUGUGGUUUGGAGGCUGCUGGAGCUGCCUGUAGCAGACUGUGAGCUGCUGAUGGCGUGGCUGCUGAAAUCACUACAAGGAUAAUAGGGCACACAUGCAUUUGUGGAUAAUUCUGGUUGCUAAUUGCUCAUGAAAUUUCAGGUAAGGAACAUCCAAU